GAUGAACGCUGGCGGCGUGCUUAACACAUGCAAGUCGAACGGUGAAGCAGGAGCUUGCUCUUGUGGAUCAGUGUCGAACGGGUGAGUAACACGAGAGCAACCUGCCCCUGACUCUGGGAUAAGCGCUGGAAACGGCGUCUAAUACUGGAUAUGUGAUGUGACCGCAUGGUCUGCAUCUGGAAAGAAUUUCGGUUGGGGAUGGGCUCGCGGCCUAUCAGCUUGUUGGUGAGGUAAUGGCUCACCAAGGCGUCGACGGGUAGCCGGCCUGAGAGGGUGACCGGCCACACUGGGACUGAGACACGGCCCAGACUCCUACGGGAGGCAGCAGUGGGGAAUAUUGCACAAUGGGCGGAAGCCUGAUGCAGCAACGCCGCGUGAGGGAUGACGGCCUUCGGGUUGUAAACCUCUUUUAGCAGGGAAGAAGCGAAAGUGACGGUACCUGCAGAAAAAGCACCGGCUAACCACGUGCCAGCCGCCGCGGUAA
rnacentral:rRNA from 1 species